rnacentral:rRNA from 1 species
CCUACGGGUGGCAGCAGUGGGGAAUAUUGCACAAUGGGCGAAAGCCUGACGCAGCGACGCCGCGUGAGGGAUGAAGGUCUUCGGAUCGUAAACCUCUGUCAGCAGGGAAGAACGGUCACUGUGCUAAUCAGCAGUGAAUUGACGGUACCUGCAAAGGAAGCACCGGCUAACUCCGUGCCAGCAGCCGCGGUAAUACGGAGGGUGCGAGCGUUAAUCGGAAUUACUGGGCGUAAAGCGCUCGUAGGCGGUAUGUCAAGUCAAGGGUGAAAUCCCCGCGCUCAAGGGGGGAACUGCCUUUGAAACAGGUAAACUGGAGUGUGUGAGAGGAGAGUGGAAUUCCAGGGGUAGGAGUGAAAUCCGUAGAUAUAGGGAGGAACAUCAGGGGAGAAGGCGACUAUCUGGCACAUAAUGGACGCUGAGGAGCGAAAGCGUGGGUAGCAACCAGGAUUAGAUACCCUGGUAGUC